GGCCCCGUAGCUCAGCGGUAGAGCGCCCGACUCAUAAUCGGCGCGGUCGUUGGUUCGAAUCCAACCGGGGCCA
rnacentral:tRNA from 1 species